rnacentral:rRNA from 1 species
CCUACGGGUGGCAGCAGUGGGGAAUAUUGGGCAAUGGACGCAAGUCUGACCCAGCAACGCCGCGUGAAGGAAGAAGGCUUUCGGGUUUUAAACUUCUUUUAAGGGGGAAGUACAGAGGACGGUACCCCUUUCAUCGUCCACGGCUAACUACUUGCCAGCAGCCGCGUUAAUACGUGGGUGGCGAGCGUUGUCCGGAUUUAGUGGGUCUAACGGGCUUGGAGCCGGAGAGACAAGUCAGGUGUGAAAGCCACGGGCUCAACCCGAGAACUGCAUUUGAAACUGUUUCCCUUGAGUGUCGGAGAGGUAAUCGGAAUUCCUUGUGUAGCGGUGAAAUGCGUAGAUAUAAGGAAGAACACCAGUGGCGAAGGCGGAUUACUGGACGAUAACUGACGGUGAGGCGCGAAAGCGUGGGGAGCAAACAGGAUUAGAUACCCGUGUAGUC